CUGGCGGCGUGCCUAACACAUGCAAGUCGAACGCGAAAGGGGGCUUCGGCUCCUAAGUAGAGUGGCGUCCGGGUGAGUAACACGUAGGUAAUCUGCCUUCGGGUGGGGAAUAACCAGUCGAAAGAUUGGCUAAUACCGCAUAAUGCAGCGGCACCUAAUGGUGAUUAGUUGUUAAAGCGGGGGAUCGUAAGACCUCGCGCCUGAAGAGGAGCCUGCGGCAGAUUAGCUAGUUGGUGAGGUAAUGGCUCACCAAGGCAUCGAUCUGUAGCUGGUCUGAGAGGACGGCCAGCCACACUGGCACUGACACACGGGCCAGACUCCUACGGGAGGCAGCAGUGGGGAAUUUUGGGCAAUGGGCGAAAGCCUGACCCAGCAACGCCGCGUGAGGGAGGAAAUCCUUCGGGAUGUAAACCUCACAAGCAAGGGAAGAGAGCUCAAGGCCGAAUAAGCUUUGAGUCCGACGGUACCUUGCGUAAGCCCCGGCUAACUCCGUGCCAGCAGCCGCGGUAAUACGGGGGGGGCGAGCGUUGUUCGGAAUUACUGGGCGUAAAGGGCGCGUAGGCGGUUUGUUAAGUUGGACGUGAAAACUUUGGGCUUAACCCAGAGCCUGCAUCCAAAACUAGCAGACUAGAGUUCUGGAGGGGGUAGCGGAAUUCCUGGUGUAGCGGUGAAAUGCGUAGAUAUCAGGAGGAACACCGGUGGCGAAGGCGGCUACCUGGACAGAAACUGACGCUGAGGCGCGAAAGCCA
rnacentral:rRNA from 1 species